UACGUAGGGGGCAAGCGUUGUCCGGAUUUAUUGGGCGUAAAGAGCGUGUAGGCGGCUAGAUAGGUCCGUUGUGAAAACUGGAGGCUCAACCUCCAGCUGUCGAUGGAAACCAUCUAGCUAGAGUCCGGAAGAGGAGAGUGGAAUUCCUGGUGUAGCGGUGAAAUGCGCAGAUAUCAGGAAGAACACCCGUGGCGAAGGCGGCUCUCUGGGACGGUACUGACGCUGAGACGCGAAAGCGUGGGGAGCGAACAGG
rnacentral:rRNA from 1 species